rnacentral:rRNA from 1 species
AACGAACGCUGGCGGCAUGCCUAACACAUGCAAGUCGAACGAGACCUUCGGGUCUAGUGGCGCACGGGUGCGUAACGCGUGGGAACCUGCCCUUAGGUUCGGAAUAACUCCCCGAAAGGGGUGCUAAUACCGGAUAAUGUCUUCGGACCAAAGAUUUAUCGCCUUUGGAUGGGCCCGCGUUGGAUUAGCUAGUUGGUAGGGUAAAAGCCUACCAAGGCGACGAUCCAUAGCUGGUCUGAGAGGAUGAUCAGCCACACUGGGACUGAGACACGGCCCAGACUCCUACGGGAGGCAGCAGUGGGGAAUAUUGGACAAUGGGCGAAAGCCUGAUCCAGCAAUGCCGCGUGAGUGAUGAAGGCCAUAGGGUUGUAAAGCUCUUUUACCCGGGAUGAUAAUGACAGUACCGGGAGAAUAAGCUCCGGCUAACUCCGU